CCUACGAGUGGCAGCAGUAGGGAAUUUUCGGCAAUGGGGGGAACCCUGACCGAGCACCGCCGCGUGAACGAAGAAGUUAUACGUAAUGUAAAGUUCUUUUAACAGGGAAGAAAGAGAAAUUUGACGGUACCUGAAGAAUAAGCUCCGGCAAACCACGUGCCAGCAGCCGCGGUAAUACGUAGGGAGCGAGCGUUAUCUGGAAUUAUUGGGCGUAAAGGGUUCGUAGGUGUCAUAGUAAGUCUUUUGUAAAAAUGCUGGGCUCAACCCAGUAGGGCAAAAGAUACUGCAAAGCUAGAGUAUGACAGAGGCAAGUGGAACGACAUGUGUAGCGGUAAAAUGCAUAGAUAUAUGUAAGAACACCAGUGGCGAAGGCGGCAUGCUGGGUCGAUACUGACAUUGAGGCACGAAAGCGUGGGGAGCGAACAGGAUUAGAUACCCGUGUAGUC
rnacentral:rRNA from 1 species